rnacentral:rRNA from 1 species
UACAGAGGGCGCGAGCGUUGUCCGGAAUCACUGGGCGUAAAGGGCGCGUAGGUGGCACCACAAGCGGGCGGUGAAAUCCCUGGGCUUAACCUAGGAACUGCAUCUUAAACUGUUGAACUAGAGUGCGGUAGAGGGUAGUGGAAUUUCCGGUGUAGCGGUGAAAUGCGUAGAUAUCGGAAGGAACACCGGUGGCGAAGGCGGCAUCCUGGACCAAUACUGACGCUGAGGAGCGAAAGCCAGGGGAGCAAACGGG